rnacentral:sRNA from 1 species
CAAAAUAAAAAUUUCCUUCUACCAAACCUUUUUUUUCCUUCCAUUCUCUAGGACAAAUAUACGUGUAUGUUCACUUACGCCUCUCAAGGAGGGACCAAUGAGCAAUGGCAGAUGAGUCUGGGGACCAGCGAAGACCACCAGCACUUCACCUGCACCAUCUGGAGGCCCCAGGGGAAGUCCUAUCUGUACUUCACACAGUUCAAGGCGGAGGUGCGGGGCGCUGAGAUCGAGUACGCCAUGGCCUACGUGAGUAUCUUGGAGUGGGGCAGGCUCCGGGUGUGGCUUCUGUGCACUGGGGCAGCUGUGAGAUGUCCUGCCACAAGAGGGCUCCAUGG